rnacentral:rRNA from 1 species
AUUGAACGCUGGCGGCAGGCUUAACACAUGCAAGUCGAGCGGGGUGAUGGUGCUUGCACUAUCACUUAGCGGCGGACGGGUGAGUAAUGCUUAGGAAUCUGCCUAUUAGUGGGGGACAACAUCUCGAAAGGGAUGCUAAUACCGCAUACGUCCUACGGGAGAAAGCAGGGGAUCACUUGUGACCUUGCGCUAAUAGAUGAGCCUAAGUCGGAUUAGCUAGUUGGUGGGGUAAAGGCCUACCAAGGCGACGAUCUGUAGCGGGUCUGAGAGGAUGAUCCGCCACACUGGGACUGAGACACGGCCCAGACUCCUACGGGAGGCAGCAGUGGGGAAUAUUGGACAAUGGGGGGAACCCUGAUCUAGCCAUGCCGCGUGUGUGAAGAAGGCCUUAUGGUUGUAAAGCACUUUAAGCGAGGAGGAGGCUCUUUUGGUUAAUACCCAGAAUGAGUGGACGUUACUCGCAGAAUAAGCACCGGCUAACUCUGUGCCAGCAGCCGCGGUAA